AUGACCGAUUCCAAGCUGCCGGACAGCCAGUCGGGCUAUGAGAAAGGCAUCACCGAUAUGCUGGCCGCUCUCAGCGGGGCCGAUCUCGUCUAUGAGGCGG
rfam:Aquamicrobium defluvii strain W13Z1 genomic scaffold V9__scaffold_06, whole genome shotgun sequence.